rnacentral:lncRNA from 1 species
ACUCUGACACCGUUUAUGAAAAUCAGACAUCACCUUUCACUCUUACACCAAGUGAUGAAUCUGUGAACAAAAUCUGUACUCACUAUCUUACUUUGAUCGUAUAUGGCUAUCAUAGUAGGUAGGUCGUGCCUUUAGCUCAAAGCUUCGUUGGUAGAUGAUAAGUACGUUUCUACCCACUUAUUUGGUUUACAAAACAUGACUAAUUGUUGAUGAAAAUGUUUGGAUAUAGCUUAAUUCUAUAUAAUUUCAUUUUGUAGGACAAUGUUGAUGAAUAAGGCAGAAUUCAAGAGAAAGUGAAUGGAAAAGGACCAAAACGGAAGAAAACGAAAAUCCAAGGUCUAAAAUUGCAUUACUUGAAAGAUUGCAUGGCUUGGAAGAUAAAUUGUAUAUUGACAUUGAAAUUGGGCCUUGAGUGCACUUGGAGAAUCUGCCGGAAGUGGAAAUAAAAACAUUGACCUCAAUUGGACUUGUUUGGGAAUCAAAAUUCAAUGUGACUUGGACUCCUAAUUUGUCUACAACACAUGGGCUUAAUUGUUCAGGUAUAUGAAAGAUACACGGACAGAAACAAGAAAUCAGAAAUUUACAUAACAAUUGUUGGCUGCUGGAAAUAAAGAAAGGGGGUGCUGUCUUAUAUAUACAGAGAGACGCGCAUACAGGAAACGGGAAAAAUUGGAGAAAUUACACGAACAAAAAUGGUGGCUGGAAUUAAGAUAUAGGCAGUGACCAUAGGAGCAGAAAAUUGAAGGAAGUCGGUGGCUAAAAUACGAAUUUGAGGAAUUGAUCACGUUCGGUCGAUUUUUGGUGACGUCUUUUCACUUUUCUUUGUUUAAUUUUCACAUUAUGUUAGGCUAAAUUAUUUUGUGCUAUGAUUUGCAAUGAACCUUUUAUUAUGAACAUUUAAUCUUAAAUUUUAUUUAUUUU